CCUACGGGAGGCAGCAGUGGGGAAUAUUGCACAAUGGGCGAAAGCCUGAUGCAGCAAAGCCGCGUGAAGGAAGACGGUCGUCGGAUUGUAAACUUCUAUCAAUAGGGAAGAAAGAAAUGACGGUACCUAAAUAAGAAGCCCCGGCUAACUACGUGCCAGCAGCCGCGGUAAUACGUAGGGGGCAAGCGUUAUCCGGAAUUAAUGGGUGUAAAGGGAGAGUAGGCGGCAAGGUAAGCGAGAUGUGAAAGCCUUAGGCUUAACCAAAGGAUUGCAUAACGGACUAGCUAGCUAGAGUACAGGGGAGGAAAGCGGAAUUCCUAGUGUAGCGGUGAAAUGCGUAGAUAUUAGGAAGAACACCAGUUGCGAAGGCAGCUUUCUGGACUGAAACUGACGCUGAGGCUCGAAAGCGUGGGGAGCGAACAGGAUUAGAUACCCUUGUAGUC
rnacentral:rRNA from 1 species